AGCUGGUUCCCUCCGAAGUUUCCCUCAGGAUAGCUAGAGUCUUUAUCAGUUUUGUCAGGUAAAGCGAAUGAUUAGAGGUUCCGGGGAAGUAACUUCCUCGACCUAUUCUCAAACUUUAAAUGGGCAAGAUCCAGUAGUUACUUAAUUGAACUAUUGGGGUCAAUGAGACGACUCUAAGUGGGCCAUUUUUGGUAAGCAGAACUGGCGAUGAGGGAUGAACCUAACGCUCGGUUAAGGUGCUAAACUGCUCGCUCAUCAGAUACCACAAAGGGUGUUGGUCGAUCUUAACAGCAGGACGGUGGUCAUGGAAGUCGAAAUCCGCUAAGGAGUGUGUAACAACUCACCUGCCGAAUCGACUAGCCCCGAAAAUGGAUAGCGCUGAAGCGAGUGACCGAUACCGGGCCAUUGUUGCAAGAUAAUUGGCAACAAUGAGUAGGAGGGCGUGGGGGUUGUGAAGAAGCUUGGACGUGAGUCUGAGUGAAACAGCUUCCAGUGCAGAUCUUGGUGGUAGUAGCAAGUAUUCAAUAAGAGAACAUUGAAGGCCGAAGUGGGGAAGGGUUCCAUGUGAACAGCACUUGGACAUGGGUUAGCCGAUCCUGAGAGACAGGUUAAAUUCCAUCGGAUUGGAGCUUUGGCUCUGUUUCUCGAAAGGGAAGCUGGUUAGUAUUCCAGCGCCGAGACGUGGAUAAUAUGUGGCAACACAAGUGAACUCGGACACGCCAUAGGGGACCCCAGGAAGCGUUGUCUUUUCUUUUUAACAGUUCGACUUACCCUGGAAUCAGAUCAUCUGGAGAUAGGGUUUUCGAACUGGAAUAGCACCUUGUCUAACAGGGUGUCUGGAGUGUUCUCGCUGGCCCUUGAAAAUCCGAGGGAUAGAUUUAUUCGCACUCUCGAUCGUACCCAUAACCGCAUCAGGUCUCCAAGGUUAGAAGCCUCUGGUCCGUAGACAAAGUAGAUAAGGAAGUCGCAAAUAGUCCGUACUUCGGAAAGACUGGCUCUGAGGUUGGUAUGUGGAACCUGGAUAAUCGUUGGAGUCGAGCAGA
rfam:Perkinsus marinus ATCC 50983 gcontig_1104296239200, whole genome shotgun sequence.